CUCGCUGGGGACAGGGGGCAGCUGCCAGAAAUUCUCUGUCAGCAAAACAUGGCAAGAUCCUUCCUCGAGGUCAGAGGCAGCUGGCUGUAGAGAGAGCCAAGCCUUACCAUCUGCCUUCAUCCGGACCAAGAGGAGCUGCAAGACCAAAGCCAUUCUCAACAGUAACAGGACAAGCUAAUGCAGGAGAUGUGCCUCCCAGAGCACCUUUCAGCAGUCGUGUACUGGCCAAAGUUAGAGAGUUAUGGGUUUCCAUCGCAGGAAUGCUGUUCUCACCAAAGCAGUCAAGAGAACGAGUGCCUUUGAGAUUCUUGGAGAGAAAUGUUCUGCGGUUCCUUGUGAAUUACAGCUGUUCCUCAAAUAAAAAGCGUUUUCCAAUGCACUGUGCUGUGUGGGUGACCCAUACGUGAGGUAGAGGGAAAAAUGCAAGUGGCGGUUCCUGAUGUGCCUGUUGGUUCAGG